GGCUACGAGGACGAACGCUGGCGGCGUGCUUAACACAUGCAAGUCGAACGGUAAGGCCCUUCGGGGUACACGAGUGGCGAACGGGUGAGUAACACGUGGGUGAUCUGCCCUGCACUUCGGGAUAAGCCUGGGAAACUGGGUCUAAUACCGGAUAGGACCAUGGACUUCACGGUUUGUGGUGGAAAGCUUUUGCGGUGUGGGAUGGGCCCGCGGCCUAUCAGCUUGUUGGUGGGGUAAUGGCCUACCAAGGCGACGACGGGUAGCCGGCCUGAGAGGGUGUCCGGCCACACUGGGACUGAGAUACGGCCCAGACUCCUACGGGAGGCAGCAGUGGGGAAUAUUGCACAAUGGGCGCAAGCCUGAUGCAGCGACGCCGCGUGAGGGAUGACGGCCUUCGGGUUGUAAACCUCUUUCAAUAGGGACGAAGCGCAAGUGACGGUACCUAUAGAAGAAGCACCGGCCAACUACGUG
rnacentral:rRNA from 1 species